rnacentral:rRNA from 1 species
UACGAAGGGGGCUAGCGUUGCUCGGAAUCACUGGGCGUAAAGGGUGCGUAGGCGGGUCUUUAAGUCAGGGGUGAAAUCCUGGAGCUCAACUCCAGAACUGCCUUUGAUACUGAAGAUCUUGAGUUCGGGAGAGGUGAGUGGAACUGCGAGUGUAGAGGUGAAAUGCGUAGAUAUCGGGAGGAACACCAGUGGCGAAGGCGGUUACCUGGGCUUGUUCUGACGCUGAGGCACAAAAGCUGGGGGAGCAAACGGG